rnacentral:rRNA from 1 species
AUGCCGACAGGGCACGACGGCGACGGCGAGAGGGUAGUCACCUUCCCGGAGCUGCCCGGCUCGCCUAGCAUCCCGUGGCGCCGCCUGUCGGGGCUGUUCCGGAUGCAUGAGGCUGGCGACGAGGUCUCCGAGACGAUCCGGCAGAUCCUUCUGUGGAGCGUAGAAAGCUCCUGCUUUGUGGUCAACUCGUUCGCCGCACUCGAGGCCGGCUGCUUCACGGAUGCGCUGGCGGCCAAGCGGGUGUCGGAAGCCGCCGGCGUGCGUGGCGGCGGCAGCGAACGCGCGGAGGUGUGCGCGUGGCUGGACGGGUUCGACGACGGCUCCGUCGUAUACAUCUGCUUCGGGUCGCAGGAGGCGCUGUCACCGGCGCAGGCGGCGUGCCUGGCCGAAGCUCUGAGGCUGAGCCCGACCGCCGCAUUCGUCUGGGUGGCGAGGGGCGGCACCGUCGUGCCGGAGGGGUUCGAGGCGGCCACGGCAUCGCGCGGGAGGGUGGUCCGGGGCUGGGCGCCGCAGCUGGACAUCCUGCGCCACCGCGCCGUGGGGUGGACCCUCACGCACUGCGGCUCGAACUCGGUGAUGGAGUCGGUCGCCGCCAGCGUGGCGUUGCUCACGUGGCCGAUGGCCGCUGACCAGUUCACGAACGCGUGGCUGCUCGCCGAGGCUGGCGCGGCCGUGCCAGUGGCGGAGGGCGCGGACGCCGUGCCCGACGCCGAGAAGAUGGCGAGCGCCAUCUCCAAGGCUGUCGCGUCAGAAGAGGGAGAGUCCACCAGGAGGCGUGCGGUGGAGCUCGGCCGGAAUGUGGCCGCCGCGGUGACGGCGGGCGGAACGUCGUGCAGCGACAUGCAAGAGUUGGUGCGUGCGCUCGGUAACGUCGAUGGACUGGCUAGUUAA